rnacentral:rRNA from 1 species
UACGUAGGGGGCAAGCGUUGUCCGGAAUUAUUGGGCGUAAAGAGCGCGUAGGCGGUCCGAUAAGUCGGCUGUGAAAGUCAGGGGCUCAACCCUUGGAAGCCGGCCGAUACUGUCAGACUAGAGUCCGGAAGAGGCGAGUGGAAUUCCCGGUGUAGCGGUGAAAUGCGCAGAUAUCGGGAGGAACACCAAUGGCGAAGGCAGCUCGCUGGGACGGUACUGACGCUGAGGCGCGAAAGCGUGGGGAGCAAACAGG